CCUACGGGUUGCAGCAGUGGGGAAUAUUGCACAAUGGGCGCAAGCCUGAUGCAGCCAUGCCGCGUGUAUGAAGAAGGCCCUAGGGUUGUAAAGUACUUUCAGUCGGGAGGAAGGCGUUGAUGCUAAUAUCAUCAACGAUUGACGUUACCGACAGAAGAAGCACCGGCUAACUCCAUGCCAGCAGCCGCGGUAAUACGGAGGGUGCAAGCGUUAAUCGGAAUUACUGGGCGUAAAGCGCACGCAGGCGGCUGAUUAAGUUAGAUGUGAAAUCCCCGGGCUUAACCUGGGGAUGGCAUCUAAGACUGGUCAGCUAGAGUCUUGUAGUGGGGGGUAGAAUUCCAUGUGUAGCGGUGAAAUGCGUAGAGAUGUGGAGGAAUACCGGUGGCGAAGGCGGCCCCCUGGACAAAGACUGACGCUCAGGUGCGAAAGCGUGGGGAGCAAACAGGAUUAGAUACCCGCGUAGUC
rnacentral:rRNA from 1 species